rnacentral:rRNA from 1 species
CAGUCGCCACGGGAAUACGGAGGGAGCUAGCGUUGUUCGGAAUUACUGGGCGUAAAGCGCACGUAGGCGGCUACUCAAGUCGGGGGUGAAAGCCCGGGGCUCAACCCCGGAACUGCCCUCGAAACUAGGUAGCUAGAAUCUUGGAGAGGUCAGUGGAAUUCCGAGUGUAGAGGUGAAAUUCGUAGAUAUUCGGAAGAACACCAGUGGCGAAGGCGACUGACUGGACAAGUAUUGACGCUGAGGUGCGAAAGCGUGGGGAGCAAACAGGAUUAGAUACCCCUGUAGUCCCUGUCUCUUAUAC